rnacentral:rRNA from 2 species
GGUUAAGCGACUAAGCGUACACGGUGGAUGCCCUGGCAGUCAGAGGCGAUGAAGGACGUGCUAAUCUGCGAAAAGCGUCGGUAAGGUGAUAUGAACCGUUAUAGCCGGCGAUGUCCGAAUGGGGAAACCCAGUGCAAUUCGUUGCACUAUCGUUAACUGAAUACAUAGGUUAACGAGGCGAACCGGGGGAACUGAAACAUCUAAGUACCCCGAGGAAAAGA